AUUGAACGCUGGCGGCAGGCCUAACACAUGCAAGUCGAACGAGUGGCGGACGGGUGAGUAAUGUCUGGGAAACUGCCUGAUGGAGGGGGAUAACUACUUGAAACGGUAGCUAAUACCGCAUACCAUCUGAUUUGCCCAGAUGGGAUUAGCUAGUAGGUGGGGUAAAGGCUCACCUAGGCGACGAUCCCUAGCUGGUCUGAGAGGAUGACCGGCCACACGGGAACUGAGCCACGGUCCAGACUCAUACGGGAGGCAGCAGGGGGGAAUAUUGCACAAUGGGCGCAAGCCUGAUGAAGCCAUGCGGGGUGUAUGAAGAAGGCCUUCGGGUGGUAAAGUACUUUCAGCGGGGAGGCGUUACCCGAAGAAGAAGCACCGGCUAACUCCGUGCCAGCAGCCGCGGUAAUUC
rnacentral:rRNA from 1 species